rnacentral:rRNA from 1 species
AGUGAACGCUGGCGGUAGGCCUAACACAUGCAAGUCGAACGGCAGCACAGUAAGAGCUUGCUCUUACGGGUGGCGAGUGGCGGACGGGUGAGGAAUACAUCGGAAUCUACUUUUUCGUGGGGGAUAACGUAGGGAAACUUACGCUAAUACCGCAUACGACCUACGGGUGAAAGCAGGGGAUCUUCGGACCUUGCGCGAUUGAAUGAGCCGAUGUCGGAUUAGCUAGUUGGCGGGGUAAAGGCCCACCAAGGCGACGAUCCGUAGCUGGUCUGAGAGGAUGAUCAGCCACACUGGAACUGAGACACGGUCCAGACUCCUACGGGAGGCAGCAGUGGGGAAUAUUGGGCAAUGGGCGCAAGCCUGAUCGAGCCAUGCCGCGUGGGUGAAGAAGGCCUUCGGGUUGUAAAGCCCUUUUAUUGGGAAAGAAAAGAAGCAGGUUAAUACCCCGCUGUUCUGACGGUACCCAAAGAAUAAGCACCGGCUAACUUCGUG